rnacentral:rRNA from 1 species
UACGAAGGGGGCUAGCGUUGUUCGGAAUCACUGGGCGUAAAGCGCACGUAGGCGGAUCUUUAAGUCAGGGGUGAAAUCCCGAGGCUCAACCUCGGAACUGCCUUUGAUACUGGGGAUCUCGAGUCCGGGAGAGGUGAGUGGAACUGCGAGUGUAGAGGUGAAAUUCGUAGAUAUUCGCAAGAACACCAGUGGCGAAGGCGGCUCACUGGCCCGGAACUGACGCUGAUGUGCGAAAGCGUGGGGAGCAAACAGG